rnacentral:rRNA from 1 species
UCUUGGUCAAUGGUCGGGAGACUGAACCAGCCAAGCCGCGUGAGGGAGGAAGGUACAGAGUAUCGUAAACCUCUUUUGUCAGGGCACAAAGGCGGGGACGUUUCCCCGGAUGAGUGUACCUGAAGAAAAAGCAUCGGCUAACUCCGUGCCAGCAGCCGUGGUAAUACGGAGGAUGCGAGCGUUAUCCGGAUUUAUUGGGUUUAAAGGGUGGGCAGGCGGUCUGUUAAGUCAGCGGUCAAAGCCCGGGGCUCAACCCGGGCCCGCCGUUGAAACUGGCAGUCUCGAGUUGGAGAAAAGUAUGCGGAAUGCGCGGUGUAGCGGUGAAAUGCAUAGAUAUCGCGCAGAACUCCGAUUGCGAAGGCAGCAUGCCGGCUCCACACUGACGCUGAGGCACGAAAGCGCGGGUAUCGAACAGG